AAAUUGCCAUUGAUACUGUUAUUCUUGAGUUAUUGUGAAGUGGUUAGAAUGUGUAGUGUAGCGGUGAAAUGCAUAGAUAUUACACAGAAUACCAAUUGCGAAGGCAGAUCACUAACAAUACACUGACGCUGAUGGACGAAAGCGUAGGUAGCGAACAGGAUUAGAUACCCUGGUAGUCUACGCAGUAAACGAUGGUUACUAGCUGUUUGUCUUAAUUGAGAGAUAAGUGGCUAAGCGAAAGUGAUAAGUAACCCACCUGGGGAGUACGUUCGCAAGAAUGAAACUCAAAGGAAUUGACGGGGGCCCGCACAAGCGGUGGAGCAUGUGGUUUAAUUCGAUGAUACGCGAGGAACCUUACCAGGGCUUAAAUGCAUAUUGACAGGGGUAGAAAUAC
rnacentral:rRNA from 1 species